AAUGUAAACUCUCUGUAUGCACUAUCACAACACUAGAAAACAAACUAAGACAGAUGUCAUCUGGCUACAGAAUCAGUUGGAAGCCAGGCUGGGAUAUGUGGGAUUCUGGGGAAACAAGGAAGGAAUCCUUUUUUGCACACAGUUUCCUAGCAACAGGAGGCACACACACACCAUGCUAUGUAGUAUCACAUGGUGGAGCCCACAGGCGAGCUGGUGGUGGGUGGUUUUCACAGGAAGGGCAGGCUUGAUCACACUCAGGCAUGAGGGACAUGAGAUGAGCCGAGGAACACGGUCCCCUGGAGUAUACAAGCCAGAUAGAGAAGGUGGCUUCUAGCAUGGGAUCUAUAUUGGUUAGUGUACCUGUGAAAUGUGGGUAGAUGCUGCUUCCAAGAACUGGCUAUCUCAGGUAAAGGCAUCUUUCUGCUGUCAGUGAGACCUUAGCACAGCAUCAAGAUCACAGGACUGAUGAACAGCAGCAUGGAAGGUCAUCGAGAGCUCGAAGGCAGGAGUAUCAAGAUCACAGAAUAUUUAAUAAACAAAAACAGCUUACGUGGUUGUUGAGUGGGGAACACAGACCGCAUCUUAAGCAUGUGUGUUCCUGGAUCUCUUGGUCCAAACUUUCCCACGGCUCCGGAACUACUUAAUCUAUUGGCCUGAGAAGAGUUAUUAGGUAAGUGGCCUCUCUUCCCCCAGCUCCCUGAAGAGAGUCUG
rnacentral:lncRNA from 1 species